CGACGUGCUCGGCGAGCACGGAGGUGUCGGCCUCCUUGGCCUGGAGGAAGAGCGGGUCGCGGCCGUCCUUGCCGA
rnacentral:tRNA from 2 species